rnacentral:lncRNA from 10 species
GUCCUUAGCAACCAGCCUUGGUUCCCAGCGGCUCAGAGCGCAGCGAAAUUGUCUUUUAAAGUAUACAGUUUCAACCUCAUUUUUAUUGGAACUUUAAAAAAAUACAUGAAGAAUUAAUAGUAAAACUAAAAAAAGAAAUCUGGGUCUGUGCCAGGUUGCAGAUGAACUGCCAAGCACCCAGGCAGACUGCUGGAGCCAUUUCAUGAGCUGAAACAUUUCUCUUUAAAGUAUAAACAUUCUUGGUUUGGGUAAUCCACAUACAUACUUGAUUGAAGAACUCAUCUGAAAGACUUUUAUAAAUGACAGUGCAUCAACAGUUGAGCAUGUGUUAACGUGGAGUGGUAUAUUAAUAGAAAGAAGCAUAAUAUAGCACAAAGCACUCAGUCAAGCUUCUAGUCCAGAAAGCGUAUGAUUUUAUCUGAAGUAAUUUGGAAUAAAUUUACUUGAAGGCAAGGUAUUCUAUAUGAGAAGUUAGGCCAAAUGUUGAUUUGGACAAAAGUGAAUGUAGUAAAAUGGGAAAAAAAUCCUGAAGGCUGGCAUCAAAAUAACUCUUAAACAAUGAACUAUUACAGAGAUUUCCACUUGAGUCAUGACUCAUGCCA